UACGGAGGAUGCGAGCGUUAUCCGGAUUUAUUGGGUUUAAAGGGUGCGUAGGCGGACUGUCAAGUCAGCGGUAAAAUUGAGAGGCUCAACCUCUUCCCGCCGUUGAAACUGGUGGUCUUGAGUGGAUGAGAAGUACGCGGAAUGCGUGGUGUAGCGGUGAAAUGCAUAGAUAUCACGCAGAACUCCGAUUGCGAAGGCAGCGUACCGGCAUCCAACUGACACUGAGGCUCGAAAGCGUGGGGAGCAAACAGG
rnacentral:rRNA from 1 species